UGUUAGAUAGUCACAUUUAAUAAUUAUUAAAAUUACUAAAAAUAAAUUAUAUUAGAAAACUUUAAAGAGGUAUUCCUCUAUUUUGAUUUUUAGUCGUUUUACAAUUUAUUUGUUUAAUAUUAUGUAAAACUAUUCAUAAUAUUAAUAAAUUAAAAUAAAAUUUAAUAGCAUAUAACCCAAAGAUAAAGGAAAUAUGUUAGGAUUUUCUCUAAACUAAUUACUUAAGUAAUUUAAAUCAGUUAGUUAAUUAUUUUAAGUGAAUAAAAUCUAUAGUCUUCUAUAUUCAUACAGAAACAUAAAAUUAUUUUUAAUAUGUUUUAAUAAUUUUUUAACACAAAAUAUGUUUUCAUAAUUCAUUACUUUUUGGAAAUUUUAAAAUUAAAUAAAAAUUGAUUGACUGAAUUAUUAACAUAUAUUCAGGAGCAGCACUCGAGUGUACUAAUACGUUCAACAUAUAGGAAAUACAUAUGAAUUGUAAAGCGAGUAAUAAUCCAUGAUCUAACAUGCAAAUUAAUACAUUUGUAUUUUGAUUAGUUCUGUUAAUUUUGCUAAUCUCAUCGCAUUCAAUGUUUCCAUUGAUUUUUAUAAGAAAUGCAGCUUCAGUUUAUUGACCAUGAACACUAUGAUCCUAUAAAAAAAAAUCAACUUGAUGAGAUGUUGAAAAAAAUAAGAUUAUAAAUAAACAAAAACUAAACGAACACAAAAUUUACUUAGCUCAGCCAAUGACCGUCUGAAAAAUACACGCAGUUCGUUAGUUUCACCUUUUCAAUAAUAAAUAAAAUGACAAAUAUUUUGGGUAAGAAGUUAUCUAAAACAUAACAAAUAAAAUUUAAUCACACUCCAACGAUACUCAUAUAAAACUUCCUUAUAACACAAGUAACGUUGAUCAGGUUACACAUCCUUCUUGAACUCGUGGUUAACUUCAAUAACUUCUAUUUAUUUUACUUACAUGUUCUUUAUUUUAAUCACUUCUUCAGUAUCACAUUCAUAAUACAUUAUAAGCCGUUACAAAAUGCAAUCAUCUUGAACACAAUCCAUUCAUACAAAUGAUAAUAGAACCAUAAACUUAUUUUUUAGAGCCAAAAAUAUAGCAAACCACACUAAACCAACCAAUUAUAGAUUCAAAAUUAAAAAAACAUACAACCACGUAAACCUCAUCCAACUUAUAUAAUAUAAUAUAUGCCGAAACUUUUUAAUAUCGACACAAACAUCGAAAUCAAACAUGAUAAACUUAACAUACAUAAUCCCUCCAUGCCCAAAUUAAGAUUCUUAACAACCAUAAACGUUCUUAUAUAUUUUUUUUUGCAAAUGCAAACAUAAACACAAACAAUGGGAAAUAUACAGUUAAACCAAAAAAAAAAAAUGGGAAAUAUACAGUAAUAUAGUUAUAUAUAUCACACGUAAAACAAGUUCUUCUGCUAUCCCUGAUCUGAAUUUUAAAAUUUUAAUAUCAGUUUAUUCUCAGGACAUACAGUCAGUGAGUUGGUGACCUUAUUACACUUACUCAAAACAAUCUGAUUUUUAAAAUAUACUAUAUCCUCUGUUUUGGGUUUAUAUGCUUCAAAUACUUUUAAAUGAAAAUACUCAAAUAAUAGUAUUAUAUAGGUAUCUGAAAUAUAUAUGUUUAAAAUGAGCAACGCAACUGGUAUGUUACAUACACGCAUAAAUAUAGAGCAAUUUUUUCUGAACAGAAAACUUAUCAGUACACACAUAAUAUAGAUAGAUACAUAGAUAAUUAAACAAUUCAUUCAAACGAAACAACUAAAAUUAUAUUAUCUAUAUAUACUAUACUAAAAGCAAAAUAUAGUGAGCGGAGAGUAUGUCCACGUCGACAAAAAUAAUCGACCAAUAGGAAAACAGUUCUCUGCCACGUCAGAUACACGAUGACAAACUCUUAUUUUCCCAAAAUCGAAUCUCGGACCUUUCUCUUCGUCUUCUCCGUCAUCUUCGUUUCAUGAGUUUACAAUUAAUCGUAAAUCCCACGGGCCAUUUGCUUUUGGAAUCUAUGUUUGGAGGCGUCUUUUCUGUGCCUGUGAAUAAUCCUCUCUUGCGCAAAUCUGGAAGUAUACUCAUGAGACGAAGGCUUGCACUGCGACUUCACGUGCCUGAUAUAUACCCUCAUGAGGACGAAGCUCAUGGAGGAGCGCGUGAAUUCGAUCGUCUCCGACGCGGUCGAGAUCGAGAGGGAGUUUGUGUGCGACGCGCUUCCGUGUGCGUUGGUGUGGAUGACCCGUGAGCUGAUGAGUCAGUAUAUCGAGUUCGUGGUGGAUAGGCUUUUGCGUGCGCUUGGGUACGGGAAGGUGUACGGUGUGGCGAAUCCGUUUGAUUGGAUGGAGUUGAUUUUGCUUCAGGGGAAAACGAACUUCUUCGAGAAGAGAGUUGGUGACUACCAGAAAGCUUCUGUUAUGUCUAGCUUUAAUGGAGGCGGCGCGUUUGAUAAUCAUUGAAACUCAUGGCUAGGUACUAUUGCCAAAUUGCGAAGCCCUUUUAGUCCUUAGCAGCCUCAAGGUUUUUUCUUCUUUCACUCAAAUUCUUGGACUUUCUGUAGAGAUUUGAUUAAUAUAAUGGACUGAUUUGAGAUUUAAAUCUUUGAUUCUUCAGGUUGCUUUGUAUGUUGGUGGUCUUUAUAUUUGUGGAAAGAUUGGAUGGGAAUCUGUAAUGAAAAUGGGACAAGACACACGAGAACUGUUCUUCUAUGAAACAUUUCUAUACUACAACCCUCUCCUUCUCAUUACAAUGAUGGUUUGGCUCUGGGGUGUUAAUCUGUGGGUGUUUUCUCGAACUGGAGUCGAUUACGCAGCAAUAUUUUAUCUAGGACCAGAUCACCAUAGUCACAAAGAGAUAUGGAAGGUAUUACAAUUCCUUAGUUACCUACCAUCUUUAUCCAAUGAUUUUCUAAAAAAUCUGAGGGUGUCACAGUGUGCUAGGUGGAUGACGACGAUAACAUUAACUAGCAUGACUGUGUAUCUGUAUCUACAUGUCCUUGGCUGCUUCUCAACCAGUGUAAUAGAUGCAUCUUCUCUUAUUUUUAGAGAUAUUUUUUAUUCAUUGUGUUUCAUAGAGUUUUGACAUUUUUUUUCUGAUGUUUUCCAGAUUGUUUUGUAUCUCUCUGCUGUGAUCAUUCUCAUCACCCCUUUCGAUAUCUUCUACAAGGUAGGUUGAUCUCGACGAAAAAACAUUUCGAUCCAAGUGAUUGCUCCUGCAGCAGAAAACGUUGAGGUACCAACCAAGAAAGUGGAGGAACCCGUUGUGGUUACCGAACAGGCGGAAGAAGUCGUGGCCGCGACAGAGUCUGCUCCAGCUCCAGUAUCCGAAGCACCAGUCGAAGGAACGAGCAAGGAAGUGGUUGUGGAAGAGGCAGAGAAAAAAGAUGAAGAGACUGAGAAGAAACCAGAGGAGCCAAAGGUAGAGGAGGAAGAAGACAAGACAGAAACUCCGGUCGUUGUGGAGGAAGCAAAAACAGAAGAGAAGGAUGAGGUGACUGAAACUCUGGCGGUUGUGGAGGAGGAGGAGAAGGCUAAGGCAGAGGAAGUUGUGGCUGCUGGUGAAGUCGCCGCCGAGAAGACCGAUGAGUAAAGCGGAAGAAACUAUAUAUGCACCUUUGGUCUCAUUCCGUUAUCUUAUUAAAAUAUUUAUUUUAUCAACAUUUUAUAAGUUUCUAUGUUCUGUUGUGUUUAUUAUGAUGAACUCAGAUGUUUGGAUAAUUUGAUGGUUGCUAUAUUGCUUACAUGCUUGGUCUAGCUUCUUUUUUUUUGUCAGCAAGCAACUACUACUUGCCUACUUGGUCUUAGCUACAAAGUCCAAGCCAGGGCAUGGAAUAUUAAAACCGUUUUGCGUUUA